CUCUGGCCCGUUUUAAGACAGCAGUCAUCGGAUAGCGCUGAAGGAAUUUUAGCUCUGAAUCCAGUUUAUGAGGAGGUGCCACAAACUCCCACCACAAAACUUAGGAUCAAAGACCAGGAGAUUGACGUUACCAGGGCCAAUGCUGCUGACUACAGUAUUUCCCCCCCCCUGACACUGGACUGCUGGCUCCUGUCGGCCGACUCUGCCCUGCAGAGACGCCUGGAGGCCUUCAUAGUUUGAAAUGAAAAUUAUUCAAACACAAACAGAUUAAUCGGGGAAAAAUGCUUUCUAGCUUUAGCUAAGAUAAUCAAAUAAAUAU